rnacentral:rRNA from 1 species
GACGGAGGAUGCAAGCGUUAUCCGGAAUUAUUGGGCGUAAAGCGUCCGCAGGUGGCCUAUCAAGUCUGCUGUCAAAGACCGGGGCUUAACCCCAGAAAGGCAGUGGAAACUGAAAGGCUAGAGGAUGGUAGGGGCAGAGGGAAUUCCCAGUGUAGCGGUGAAAUGCGUAGAGAUUGGGAAGAACACCGGUGGCGAAAGCGCUCUGCUGGGCCAUAACUGACACUGAGGGACGAAAGCUAGGGGAGCGAAUGGG